rnacentral:rRNA from 1 species
CUUUAUCACCGAGUGCUUGCACUCACCGAUAAAGAGUUGAGUGGCGAACGGGUGAGUAACACGUGGGCAACCUGCCCAAAAGAGGGGGAUAACACUUGGAAACAGGUGCUAAUACCGCAUAACCAUAGUUACCGCAUGGUAACUAUGUAAAAGGUGGCUAUGCUACCGCUUUUGGAUGGGCCCGCGGCGCAUUAGCUAGUUGGUGGGGUAAAGGCUUACCAAGGCAAUGAUGCGUAGCCGAACUGAGAGGUUGAUCGGCCACAUUGGGACUGAGACACGGCCCAAACUCCUACGGGAGGCAGCAGUAGGGAAUCUUCCACAAUGGGCGAAAGCCUGAUGGAGCAACGCCGCGUGGGUGAAGAAGGUCUUCGGAUCGUAAAACCCUGUUGUUAGAGAAGAAAGUGCGUGAGAGUAACUGUUCACGUUUCGACGGUAUCUAACCAGAAAGCCACGGCUAACUACGUGCCAGCAGCCGCGGUAAUACGUAGGUGGCAAGCGUUAUCCGGAUUUAUUGGGCGUAAAGGGAACGCAGGCGGUCUUUUAAGUCUGAUGUGAAAGCCUUCGGCUUAACCGGAGUAGUGCAUUGGAAACUGGGAGACUUGAGUGCAGAAGAGGAGAGUGGAACUCCAUGUGUAGCGGUGAAAUGCGUAGAUAUAUGGAAGAACACCAGUGGCGAAAGCGGCUCUCUGGUCUG